rnacentral:sRNA from 1 species
ACUUCCGCUCUCUGGCCGGGCUUGGGCUGCGUGGAGAAUACUUUUUGCGAUGCCUACUGGAGACUUUGAUUCGAAGCCCAGUUGGGCCGACCAGGUGGAGGAGGAGGGGGAAGACGACAAAUGUGUCACCAGCGAGCUCCUCACGGGGAUCCCUCUGGCCACAGGUGACACCAGCCCAGAGCCAGAGCUACUGCCGGGAGCUCCACUGCCGCCUCCCAAGGAGGUCAUCAACGGAAACAUAAAGACAGUGACAGAGUACAAGAUAGAUGAGGAUGGCAAGAAGUUCAAGAUUGUCCGCACCUUCAGGAUUGAGACCCGGAAGGCUUCCAAGGCUGUCGCAAGGAGGAAGAGUGUUGCUCUGUCCCCCAGGCUGAAGUGCAGUGGCGCGAUCUCGACUCACUGCAACCUCCGCCUCCUGGGUUGAAGUGAUUCUUCUGCCUCAGCCUCCCGAGUAGCUGGGGUUACAGGCAUGUGCCACCACGCCCAGCUAAUUUUUGUACUUUUAGUAGAGACGAGGUUUUGCCAUGUUGGCCAGGCU